GAUGAAGAACGUAGCGAAAUGCGAUAAGUAAUGUGAAUUGCAGAAUUCAGUGAAUCAUCGAAUCCUUGAACGCACAUUGCGCCCGCCAGUAUUCUGGCGGGCAUGCCUGUCUGAGCGUCAUUUCAACCCUCAUGCCCCUAGGGCGUGGUGUUGGGGAUCGGCCAAAGCCCGCGAGGGACGGCCGGCCCCUAAAUCUAGUGGCGGACCCGUCGUGGCCUCCUCUGCGAAGUAGUGAUAUUCCGCAUCGGAGAGCGAUGAGCCCCUGCCGUUAAACCCCCAACUUUCCAAGGUUGACCUCAGAUCAGGUAGGAAUACCCGCUGAACUUAAGCAUAUCAAUAAGCGGAGGA
rnacentral:misc_RNA from 1 species